UACAGAGGUCUCAAGCGUUGUUCGGAUUCAUUGGGCGUAAAGGGUGUGUAGGCGGUUGUUUAAGUUUGGUGUGAAAUCUCCCGGCUCAACUGGGAGGGUGCGCCGAAUACUGAAUGACUUCGAGUGUGGGAGAGGUGAGUGGAAUUCCUGGUGUAGCGGUGAAAUGCGUAGAUAUCAGGAGGAACACCGGUGGUGUAGACGGCUCACUGGACCAUAACUGACGCUGAGACACGAAAGCGUGGGUAGCAAACAGG
rnacentral:rRNA from 1 species